GAUGAAGAACGCAGCGAAAUGCGAUACGUAAUGUGAAUUGCAGAAUUCAGUGAAUCAUCGAAUCUUUGAACGCAUAUUGCGCUCUCUGGUAUUCCGGAGAGCAUGCUUGUUUGAGUAUCAGUAAACACCUCAACUUCCAUAUCUUUUUUGAAAUGGGAGUUGGACUUGAGUGAUCCCAACGCUUUUCCUCACCGAAAAGUGGCGGGUUACUUGAAAUGCAGGUGCAGCUGGACUUUUCUCUGAGCUAUAAGCAUAUCUAUUUAGUCUGCCUAAAAAACAGAUUAUUACCUUUGCUGCAGCUAACAUAAAGGAGAUUAGUUCUUGUGCUGACUGAUGCAGGAUUCACAAAGACGGCUUCGGCCGACUUUGUAAACUCGAUCUCAAAUCAAGUAAGACGACCCGCUGAACUUAAGCAUAUCAAUAAGCGGAGGA
rnacentral:misc_RNA from 1 species